rnacentral:lncRNA from 1 species
GAGGAGAAAGGCACUCAGUAUACGCUCUCUAGGCCUUCUGGGAAACAUGGCAUUGUUCCUUUGGCCACAUACAUUCGAAUCUACAAGAAGGGUGAUAUUGUAGACAUUAAGGGAAGGGACGCUGUUCAAAAAGGAAUGCCCCGUAAGUGUUACUACAGCAAAAUAGGAAGAGUCCACAGUGUCGCCCAGCGUGCCAUGGGCAUUGUAAACAAGCGAGUUGCCCAGCAUGCCAUGGGCAUUGUAAACAAGCGAGUCGAAGGCAAGAUUCUGGCUAAGAGGAUCAGUGUGUGGAUUGAGCGCAUCACACACUCAAAGGCAGAGGCAGCUUCCUGAGGCGGGUGAAGGAGAGCGAUCAGAAGGAAAAGGAAGCCAAGGAGAAGGGCCUCUGGGUCCAGCUGAAGUGCCAACCUGCGCCACAGAGAGGAGCCUGAGCUGCCAGAGCCCAUUCCAUAUGAACUCAUGGCCUGA